GACUACAAAGAUUACAUUCCUUCAUUCACUCACUCAGCACACGCUUACUGAGCACCUACUUUGUGCCAGGCACUUGGAAUAUAGCUGUGAACAAAGGAGCCCAGAGACACUGCCCUUGGGAGCUUGCGCUGGUGGAUUGAAGAGCACCCACUCCGGGAGCCCCAGGCCCCCCCGUCCUGCCCAGCACGACCUCCGCCCUCUCGCCAAGGUGUGUGUGGGGGGUGGGCAGCCAGCUUGGACGUCCCAUCCCAGCCACACGCUGAAGACCCUGGAGCAUGCGACAGCAAAGAGCCCCCAGCAAGCCUCGCCUGAGUGCCUCACGCACAGGAUGGUGAGAUAUGAGUAACAGAAGGUUUGUUUUGAGCUAUAAAACUUCUGGAAAGAGUAUCUUACAGAUGACAAGCACAUUAUAUGGGGGAAGCUGGACUGCCAGACACCAAACAACGAGCCUCUUCGACGGUGACGAGCCCUGCCCUGGACAGUAAGGGAAGGCCAGGAAGGGGGAGUGUGGGUGAGCCUGUGAGCGUGUGUGCACGAGUGAUGUUAGUGUGCCCAGGGAAGCACGCACGUGGGGGAAGACAGCUGGGCAAAGACCCAGGUUGCUGAGAAAAUGCACUGAUCUGGAAGGGAGUCCCAGGAGAGGAAAGAGCUGGUGCAAAGGUUCCGCACCAGGGGCGCACCUGACUUGACCCUGGGGCCGGCGGGGCUGGCGUGGGGCGGCCGCAGCCCGCUUGCCCACACAGCACCUCCCUCCCCAGCAGCCGGCUUGCACGACAGUCCCAUCACCCGCCUGCAGGUCUCACCCGCUAUGAGCAGUGACCAUCCCCUACCAGCAGCGUUCCCGUUCCACAGACUGGGAAACUGAGGUCCAGAGAACGCUGAGCCCAGAGGCCCGCAGCUUCGUUGGGAGAGCUGAGAGGUCUCUCUGUAACUGCAGCCUCCUCUCCUCUCCCUUCCUUCCAGAACGCCUCACCCGCACCCUGCUCCCUGGCUCCAGCAUUCUCCCCUGGGGCCUGCCCUGCCUGCUGAAAAGCUGCCCCAGGCGGACCCUCCAAGGGAGCCCCCAAGGCUCAACCUGAGAACCCCCACCCCCGUUCCUGUGCUGAAAAUGUAAGGCCAUCUGGUCCACUCAGGAGGUGGGCAGUCGGGGGUGGCUCUGAGGCGUGAGAAGUCAGAGGAAGGCACUUACACAGACUGAGCACCUCCCAGGACGGGGGCCGCCCCCUGGGAGGUGAGACCCACUGUUACUGGCGCUGAGUGGGCACUGACUGUGUGCCAGGCCGUGCUGGCUCUGUCAUCUCAGGGACCCUCACCCCUCUGAGGUCAGCGCCGUGAUGUCCCAACUCACAGAUGGGGAAACUCUUGGCCCAGGGUCUUCCCGUGAGGAGGCCGUGGCGGGCGCCACGGGCCGCAGCUCGCAGCAGAGAGCCCCGAGCAGCUUCCUAAUGUCAAGCACAAAUGCCACCCCCGAGGUGAGGCUCCCACCCGCGGCGGGCUUCCGCCGCCACCGUAGGCCCCAGACGAAAAGACAGGAGACCUUCCAGAACUCUCCAAGUCAUGCCACGAAAAGGACCUCCUCCUCCUCCGCAGCCAGGCCUGGGCGAGCCCACAGGGAGCCGAGCAUGAAAACAAAGCAGGGCAGGCGGGCCGAGGGCCCCAGCUCCCCAGAGUCUCAGCAGUACCUGCGCAGCCGGGACGGGAGCCGCAGCCCGUGGAGGCAGGUGGGCCCCCGGCCGCCGACUCUUCCCCGAGCUCCGCCGCAGCUGCUGUGGCCGGAGCGUGUGCCCGCCCAGAGGACCGCACCGGGGACCGCGCUCCGCGGGAGGGCCAGGCGGGCCCCUGCGGAGAGGCCUCUGCUCGGGGCGCGGCCUUGGACCUUCUCCUAACCCGAGGUUGGGCCGGGGCCGGGGCUGGGCUGGGCUGGGGGCCCCCGCGCUCACUUCACUCCCUGUGGCACCGCGGCCUGGUUUCAACCCCGCAAAUAAAAAUGCCUUACAUGCUUUUUUAAAAAAACUACUUAAAAGGAAAAAGAAGGUCAUGAUGUGGCACUUCAAAGCACAGU